rnacentral:lncRNA from 1 species
UUUUCUGUAGCCCUGGAAAUGGCUGAAAAUGAGGGGAGGGAAAUAAAGUGCUAUAAUUCAGAGCAUGGAGCACACCUUCCUGGUUCACCUGAGCUGGAUUCGGAGAGGUAAAAUGGCCAUUACCUCGUCUAAGCUGCCACUUACAGACACAGUACAGGAUGAGGCCCAGACCCACAGAGACAACGAUGAUGGCCACAGCUAAGAUGAUCCAGAAAUUAUUCCUCCACCAGCUCAUUGCAGUGGAAUCCUGAGAAGAAUGGAGAGAGAAGAAUGAGGUAUGAAUGAAAGAUAUCCUGGGGUUGGGUGGAGUGGGGCAGUUAUCUACUGUGGGUUGUUUUUUUUUUCUUUUCUGAGUCGGAGUCUCACUCUGUCGCCCAGGCUGGAGUGCAAUGACGUGAUCUCAGCUCUCAGCUCACUGCAACCUCCACCUCCCGGGUUCAAGUGAUUCUCCUGCCUCAGCCUCCAGAGUAACGGGGACUACAGGCACCUGCCACCACGCCUGGCUAAUUUUUGUAUUUUUAGUAGAGAUGGGGUUUCGCCACGUUGGCCAGGCUGGUCUGGAACUCCUGACCUCAGGUGAUUCACCUGUCUUGGCCUCCCAAAGUACUGGGAUUACAGACAUGAGCCACCGUGCCCAGCUAAUCUACUGUGUUGUGUAGAGAUGCAGACAUCUGCUUAGGAAUCAGGCACUGGAUCACAGCCAUACCCUACUCAUUAACACCUGGGGGACCUCAGGCAUGUCACUCGACCUUCUGUGAGCCUCAUCUAUAAUAUGGGAAUGAUAUCUCC